GAUGAACGCUGGCGGCGUGCUUAACACAUGCAAGUCGAACGAUGAAGCCCAGCUUGCUGGGUGGAUUAGUGGCGAACGGGUGAGUAACACGUGAGUAACCUGCCCUUAACUCUGGGAUAAGCCUGGGAAACUGGGUCUAAUACCGGAUAGGAGCGCCUACCGCAUGGUGGGUGUUGGAAAGAUUUAUCGGUUUUGGAUGGACUCGCGGCCUAUCAGCUUGUUGGUGAGGUAAUGGCUCACCAAGGCGACGACGGGUAGCCGGCCUGAGAGGGUGACCGGCCACACUGGGACUGCGACACGGCCCAGACUCCUACGGGAGGCAGCAGUGGGGAAUAUUGCACAAUGGGCGAAAGCCUGAUGCAGCGACGCCGCGUGAGGGAUGACGGCCUUCGGGUUGUAAACCUCUUUCAGUAGGGAAGAAGCGAAAGUGACGGUACCUGCAGAAGAAGCACCGGCUAACUACGUG
rnacentral:rRNA from 1 species